GGUCUCGUAGUUCAAUGGAUAGAAUAGAAGUUUCCUAAACUUUUGAUCCCAGUUCGAUCCUGGGCGAGACUACCA
rnacentral:tRNA from 1 species